rnacentral:rRNA from 1 species
CUCCUACGGAGGCAGCAGUGGGGAAUAGUUGCGCAAUGGGCGAAAGCCUGACGCAGCGACGCCGCGUGGGGGAUGGAAUGCCUUCGGGUCGUAAACCCCUUUCAGCAGGGACGAAGCGAGAGUGACGGUACCUGCAGAAGAAGCGCCGGCUAACUACGUGCCAGCAGCCGCGGUAAUAC